GACGAACCGUGCGAACGUUAUUCGGAAUCACUGGGCUUAAAGCGCGUGUAGGCGGGUCGGAACGUCGGUCGCUGAAAUCCCCCGGCUCAACCGGGGAAGGGGCGCCGAUACGGCCGGCCUGGAGGGACGUAGGGGGGGCUGGAACUUCCGGUGGAGCGGUGAAAUGCGUUGAGAUCGGAAGGAACGCCCGUGGCGAAAGCGAGCCCCUGGACGUCUACUGACGCUGAGACGCGAAAGCCAGGGGAGCGAACGGG
rnacentral:rRNA from 1 species